CCUGCGGAAUGUUCUUUUCGCCACUUCUAAAAACCAGGCAUAGAGUGCCUUUUCUACUUUCCCGUGGGCAGGAGUGCGCACACGACAGGCUCCCGACGUUCACUGCUCCGCCGCCUUUGCCUUGAUAUCCGCCUUGUUCUUCAACAAGGUGCUCAUAGUGCUCCGUGGUAUCAUGAUGUCGUCCGCCACCGUCGAACUUUUUUCGCCCGCCUCAACACGCUGUAUGGCUUUCAACUUUGUCGCAAAGUCAAGGUUCUUUUGCUUCUUGACGCUGGCCAUUGCUACACAAGAAGUCGUCAAUUCAAGCAGUCCACAGCGCCUUUGCACAGCACGCACGCAAAAGAGGAAUGCAGUGGUAUGCGAAAGCUCACGGAAGUGGACUCCGCCAACAAAGCGCUCGCGAUCAAUCGCGAUGGCGGCGAUGGCUAUCCGGGCUGCCCGGCUACUUGCGAGGGCAGCAGCGACAGUGAUGUACAAAAGGCGCGAGCUGUGAUUGGCUGAGCAAUUACGAAAGGCGCGGGCUGUGGUUGGCUGAUCAAAACUCACAAAACAGCAACAAAAAAGGAAGAAAGAAAAAGUGAAAGGAGGAGGCCGCCGGCUCCUUCGUUCCCGCUCU
rnacentral:lncRNA from 1 species